rnacentral:tRNA from 1 species
UAUAAAGUAAGCUAAAAUUAAGCUAGUGGGUUCAUACCCCAAAAAUGAAUUUUUUAUUCCUUUAUUA